rnacentral:rRNA from 1 species
AAGGGCACCACAAGAACGCGUGGAGCAUGUGGCUUAAUUUGACUCAACCCGGGAAAUCUUACCAGGUCCAGACAUAUUGAGGAUUGACAGGCGAUAGUAUAUAAAAUAUAUUUUUAUAUGCAUAAAAAUGAUAGUCCUUUCAUGAUUAUAUGAUAGGUGGUGCAUGGCCGUUCUUAGUUCGUGGAGUGAUUUGUCUGCUUAAUUGCGUUUCAGUAAAUAAAAUAUAUAAUAUAUUAUAAUAUUUAGUUCUGCCUUUAUGGAUUUAAAGUGAACAUAUUAUAUAUAUUAUUAUAUAAUAAAUGAAUGCAACGAACGUGACCGUAACCUUUUAUUGCUAUUCUUUUAUUAUAAUUAUAGCAUAAAAUUAAAGGAACCGCUGUCAUUACUAAAUAUGUGUUAAAAUAGAGUAAGAUUAUGGCAAUAACAGGUCUGUGAUGCCCUCAGAUGUUCUGGGCUGCACACGUGCUACAAUAAUUACAUUAAUAAGUAUAUAUACUUUAUAAUAUAUAAUAUUAUAUUUAACCUAUUUCGAAAGUAAAUCGGUAAUCAUUUAAAAAUCGUGAUUAAACUAAAUAUAUAAUUAAUUUAAGGUGGGGAUAGUGUAUUGUUAAUUAUUACACUUGGCCUUAACUAGGAAUGCCUUGUACUCUUCUUUGGUUUAACAUACCAAGAGGAAUACGUCCCUGCCCUUUGUACACACCGCCCGUCGCUCUUACCGAUGAAUUAUAUUAUAAAUCUAAGGGAUUUAUUAUAAUUAAAAUAUAAAAAACUUAUAUACAUAAUGUGAUUUAAAGGAAAGAGAAGUCGUAACAAGGCAUCAGUAGGUGAACCU